CAAACUUUAUUAUAGAGGAGCAAGAAUCUUCAGAGCCAUUAUGAAUGAUUUAUCCAGAAAAGGAAUGCAAACGGCUGAAAAUGCAAUCCUAAGCGGAACUUCAGCUGGCGGAUUGGCUACAAUUUUGAAUUGCGAUAAGUUCAAGUCUCUCCUUCCAGAUGAUGCCAGAGUAAAGUGCGUUGCAGAUGCAGGCUUCUUCAUCAAUGCCAAGACAAUAUCUGGCACUUCAGAUAUUCAAGAUGAGUAUAAGAGAGUGGUUACUUUACAUGGAUCGGCUAAGAAUUUGCCUCCAUCUUGCACCUCUAUAAUGGAACCAAGUCUGUGCUUUUUCCCUCGAAACGUUGUUCCAUACGUUCAGACUCUACUUUUCAUAAUCAAUUCACAGUAUGACUUGUGGCAGGUUAGUAACAUUUUGGUUCCUGAGUAUCUCGAUCCUCAACGUGUCUGGAAGAAUUGCAAGGUUCAUAUAAGUAACUGCACAUUAAGCCAGCGUAUAAUUAUUCAAGAUUUUGGAGUGGAGUUCUUGAAGGCAUUCUUGGGACUCACCCCUUCGUUUACGAGGGGUUAUUUCAUAACCUCUUGUUAUUCCCAUGGUCAAAUUCAAUCGGCGAGGUAUUGGUUCAGUGCUAACUCUCCAAGAUUACUUAAUAAGACAAUCGCUGAAGCCGUUGCGGAUUGGUACUUUGAUAGAGCAGAGUUUCAUCAAUACAUAGACCCAUACCCUUGUGGUAGAGAUUGUUGGUCAACUUCAUGAAACGAAAUGCUCUACUGAGAUGUGUAAAAGUAAAACUAAUUCAGAUCUAUUCAGCGCUAGUGAAUGAAAAGCAAACUUUGUUUGGUGUGCAAUUAUUGUUUUUUUUUUCGUUGACAAUGACGUGCUUGCUAACCGUAUAUGUUUGAAAGAUGAAGAAUCAUCUAUUUGAAAUAAGCUACAGUUUCUUAACAUAAAUUAAGUAAUCUUAGAACUUUUCAGGAUUCAAAUUCCUGAACUAAGGUGCAACAUCAUUAUUAUUUACCAUAUUCCGUUGACAUAUGAUCAUGAAAUCCACACAGAAAGGUUUCUCUAAUUCUUAAUUAGCAAAAAGGCUAUAAGCUUUGACAAUACAAUUAAUGAACUGUCUACAAAUAUUUUCUCAUAUUAAUUAAUGAGACUUCAUUAAUGUCUCUACUGAAACAACCAGGGUGAAAAGAGACCGAGCGAUCGAUGCAUCUGAAUAUAUGUACUUUUUUCAGCCUUUAAAAUGAAUGAAAUGUAUGUUCAUCCAUAACAAGCGUUACAGAUCUAAAUACUAUUAAUUAAUAUAUAUUUAUUUAAAUCCUACAGCCUUGUCUUGGGAAAAGGUAAAACGUUAUUGUGCUAGCAAAAGAAAAGGGGAAGUAUAAACACAUUUGGUUUGUAAGCAGAUGAGGGUAUUAAAGCAGACUUGUGUAUUUUUCUUCAUAACGUGUAUGACUUUAGUAAAUUGUAAAACAUACCCUCCAUCGGUAGAAGAAAAUUGUGUUUGGGAAUGUGUUGAUUAUUUAACAGUAACAAGAGGCUUAGAUCAUACUCCUCAGCCGGAAUUGGAGAGAAGAUGUAGAGAUGGAGUACCAGAUUUUUAUUGUGAAUCUAAGAUGUUUUAUGAUGGA